rnacentral:rRNA from 1 species
CCAGCAGCUGCGGUAAUUCCAGCUCCAAUAGCGUAUAUUUAAGUUGUUGCAGUUAAAAAGCUCGUAGUUGGAUUUCGGGUGGGUGACGGCGGUCUGCCUCUGGUAUGCACUGCUGUUCAUCCGCCUUUCUGUCGAGGACGCGCUCCUAGCCUUCACUGUCUGGGACGCGGGCUCGGCGUGGUUACUUUGAGUAAAUUAGAGUGUUCAAAGCAGGCGACCGCCCUGAAUACAUUAGCAUGGAAUAGCACGAUAGGACUCUGGCCUAUCUUGCUGGUCUGUAGGACCGGAGUAAUGAUUAAGAGGGACAGUCGGGGGCAUUCGUAUUUCAUUGUCAGAGGUGAAAUUCUUGGAUUUAUGAAAGACGAACUUCUGCGAAAGCAUUUGCCAAGGAUGUUUUCAUUGAUCAAGAACGAAAGU